GGCUGGUUCAAGUGGUCCGAUAUAGUGGUGUUUACAACUAAGCGAUCAAAACCAGUUACAGAUUUCUUUAUUUCAUCUCCAUGUCUCACUUGACUAGCCAAAA
rnacentral:Y_RNA from 1 species